rnacentral:rRNA from 1 species
GGAGGAAUAUUGGGCAAUGGACGAAAGUCUGACCCAGCAACGCCGCGUGAAGGAUGAAGGCCUUCGGGUCGUAAACUUCUUUUAGGGGAGACGAGAAAGGACGGUAUCCCCUGAAUAAGCCACGGCUAACUACGUGCCAGCAGCCGCGGUAAAACGUAGGUGGCGAGCGUUAUCCGGAUUCAUUGGGCGUAAAGAGCUUGUAGGUGGUGCGAUAAGUUGGACGUGAAAACUCCGGGCUUAACUUGGAGAGGCCGCUCAAUACUGUUGUGCUAGAGGGCGUCAGAGGGAAGUGGAAUUCCUGGUGUAGCAGUGAAAUGCGCAGAUAUCAGGAGGAACACCCGUGGCGAAGGCGGCUUCCUGGGACGUACCUGACACUGAGAAGCGAAAGCUAGGGGAGCAAACG